rnacentral:lncRNA from 1 species
UGCUCUCAGCGGUGCCCUCUGUCAAGCAGUCUACAGAAGUCCUGGCCCCCCAGCACUGGUGUGUAAGCACACAGCACAGAGGACAUCUCAGGAGGAGGACCCCGUCAGUGGAAGACAGAGCCCAGGAUGGGAGAGUUUCAGGUAUGUGGGAACCAGUCUCACCUCUGCCACUAAACUGAUACACAGCCCAGAACUUUACACGUUCCCUCCCUGGACCUCAGUUUCCUGACUUGUAAUUUGAGGGUCAGCUGUAGCUCACCCAUCUUGGAAAUUCACUCUGAGUCAGGCAAGGACUUGUGUGAGUGUUCGGUGCUCCUGAAGUGGUUUCUGUCAUAU